GGGCCACAGCUCAGUGGCAGAGCAUCUGCUUUGCAUCCAGAAGGUAUCAGGGUCAAUCCCUGGCAUCCCCA